CCGGCGACUAGCCUACGGGCACUUCCCAACGUUGGAAAAGCUCUUUUCGGCUUGAAAUCCAGCCGUGGAGGAAAGUUCAAGGCAAUGGCAGCUUACAAAGUGAAGGCUAUCACUCCGGAGGGUGAAUUUGAAAUUGAAUGUCCUGAUGAUGUCUAUAUCCUCGACGCUUUUGAAGAAGCUGGUGUUGAUCUUCCAUACUCAUGCAGGGCUGGUUCUUGCUCUUCUUGUGCUGGGAAAAUUGUAGCAGGAGCCAUAGAUCAAUCUGAUGGAAGCUUUCUUGACGAUGAACAGGUAGAAGAGGGUUGGGUUCUUACUUGUGUUGCUUAUCCUCAGUCCGAUAUUGUUAUUGAGACACACAAGGAAGAAGAGCUUACUGGUUAAUGACGUGGUUUUGAAAUUCCAGCCGGCGCCGGA
rnacentral:lncRNA from 1 species